AACGAACGCUGGCGGCAUGCCUAACACAUGCCAGUCGAACGAGACCUUCGGGUCUAGUGGCGCACGGGUGCGUAACGCGUGGGAACCUGCCCUUAGGUUCGGAAUAACUCCCCGAAAGGGGUGCUAAUACCGGAUAAUGUCCUCGGACCAAAGAUUUAUCGCCUUUGGAUGGGCCCGCGUUGGAUUAGCUAGUUGGUAGGGUAAAAGCCUACCAAGGCGACGAUCCAUAGCUGGUCUGAGAGGAUGAUCAGCCACACUGGGACUGAGACACGGCCCAGACUCCUACGGGAGGCAGCAGUGGGGAAUAUUGGACAAUGGGCGAAAGCCUGAUCCAGCAAUGCCGCGUGAGUGAUGAAGGCCUUAGGGUUGUAAAGCUCUUUUACCCGGGAUGAUAAUGACAGUACCGGGAGAAUAAGCACCGGCUAACUCCGUG
rnacentral:rRNA from 1 species